CUAAAGACCCUUUAAAGAAGCUAGGAAUGGCAUCUUUAAUGGCUACUUAGAGACCAAAAUUUCAGUUCUCCAUUCCAUCUUCAAAUGGCUUCGUCCUUCUGCUAUAUCCAAUGAAACCUAACAUACUUCCCUUCAUUUCCUCCAAAGAAAACCAAAACAUCCGCCUUCUUUCUCCUUCCUCAACUCACUCAUUUUCUGAUUUUUAACAAAGGGAACGGACUUCCCCAAACUUUAAUUCCCCUUCUCUGUUCUGAAAUCGAGUCAAGUCGACAAAAAGAAAAUUAAAAGGGUGUUCCCAAGUUCGACAUAAAUUGUUGCAGAUUCGGGGAUUUUCUCUAAAGCUUUUGAGUUGAAACUUUCUAUUGGUGGUCAUUUCUAUUUGUUGGGUUCAUACGCUUUGGUUUGAAUUGCCGUGAAUUGCUGCUGUUGUUGUCUUCCUCAUCACUGUUGAGCUUCAUCGCUAGUUUCAUACCUUUAUCUGUUUUUUUUUUUUGCAAAUAGGUACUCGUCUCAAACUUGUACUUUUCGAUGGUUCUAUAUUUGCCAAAUGGGUCUAGAUUUUAGCC
rnacentral:lncRNA from 1 species